ensembl:lncRNA
ACAAAUGAAUAAAUAACUGAUUGUGUGGCAAACUAACGCAACCAAAGCAAAGUUACCGAAGUGCCAUGCCAGUAAGGUUUUGGUCGCAAAGAAGUAAAAUACAAGGGCGAGGAUGUGAGGUUUCUACAGAUAGAGACAAUUGCCCAUUUGUACUAACAAAAGUUCUUUAGGCUUACUGAAGACUACUGACUUUCUGUUUUGGAGAAAUCAAAGUUGGAGGAGAGAAUGGAAGGAAGCAAAAUCGAAUGCUGAUAUCCUCUGAAUGGAAGCGGGGUAUAGGACAUGGGAAACGAUACGGAGGAAGAGACUCAAGUUGGAUAAGAAAGGAAGCAGCCCGCUGGGAGUACCAGUACUGGAACUGGGACUGAGGCCAGGGAGGUGAAGAUAAGAGCACCUCGCCCCGAUAUCUCCUCUAAGCCAGUGCUUCCCUUUCCAAGAAAAGAAGUUCCUUCAGAGGUCCUGGCUGGACAUAACCAGAAGAAAUCUGAAAGGAACAUUUUGGCUGCAUCUUUGAUGGAUAAGUACUGCUAGCGAGCCUCUUUUGAAUGACUCUCACACUUGGACCCAAUCGGGCAGCCCAGGCAGGCCUCUGGGGCCUGUUCUCCUCAGCAAGCUUCCAGACACUGAUGGAUUGUCUCAUUUCCUUGUUUGAUGGACUGGAACCGCCCACAAGCUGCAGAUGCUUCUAUGCAGGGAUGGAUGAUGAACCCCUUCCCCUAGCCAGCCUUCAGUCUGGCCACGUCCCAGGGCAGUUAGGCAAGGACUGUUGUCAGUUCCCGAGUUCUUUCGCUGUUGGAGGACUGCGGGCGGUCAGUGAAUGAUCUGCAGCCCGUGUUUGGAUACCGUCACAUUUUCCAAAGCUAUGUUCACAAUAUCCGCUUGAAGAGAGUUCAGCAAAGCGGAAUUUUCAGGAUCAUGGUUGCCGCUUUGGAAGGAACCAGACACUCUCUCACUGCAGACAAAGCAGCUUGGUUUCAGAUUGUAACUCCCAGCAACCUGAUCGGGGGAGCUCGGAACUGGACGACCCUGCAGAGGGUAUUAGCGAGGACCUUCAGAUGCGGGUUCGGAGCAGGGCUUGGAAGACGUGAGAUGAAGGGUUGAAAUUCUUUUAUAUAAAGUAGCUGACGGAAAUACCAAACAAUUAGCGUAAACAAAGAGACUAAACUAUGCUGUGGCUGGUUUUGGCAGAUUCCACAGACAAAUACCCUAGGCUCCCGUAGCCUUAACGCUGAAGUCUAGACCUAGUGACUCUUAGACAUCACCCCCAAGGAAGCUAAGGGGUCGUGGGGGAGGGCGGCUCAGCUCAAGCUCCUGACAAGGAGCAGUAAACAUAAAACUGGAUCACCCUGGAAAACUGGGACUCCACACCUCCCCCCAAACCCCACCCACCGUGGUGGUAGAGAGACAGUAUGGGUAAGAGAGGGGUGGAUGGGAUAGCUUGGGGCUCCCUUUUGGGAGGGCAGAAAUGUGAUUAAAGCUAGUUCAGUUUAGAGAGAGGUUACCGGUGGAGGUGCCCAAAGAACCUGGGAGGAGUCAGAGGCAACUUCUUCUAUUAUAUUUCUAUAUAUUGAUCACAGUUACUGUUUGCUACUUUUGCCCUCUCUCCAAUUUCUUCCCCAUCUUUUAAAAUAAUAGCUUUGUAACUGUGCUGGAAAUAAAGACACAAACAAAACAUUUUCUGCCUUUAAU